rfam:Cavia porcellus supercont2_16 genomic scaffold, whole genome shotgun sequence.
GGGGAUUUAGCUCAGUGGCAUAAGCACCUGCCUUACAAGCAGACAGUCGUGAAUUCAAUCCCCG